rnacentral:rRNA from 1 species
AUUGAACGCUGGCGGCAGGCCUAACACAUGCAAGUCGAACGAGUCGCGGACGGGUGAGUAAUGUGUGGGAAUCUCCCCUGUGGGGGGGGAUAACUUCUGGAAACUGUCGCUAAUACCGCAUACUCUCCAGUGUGCCGAUGUGGGUUUAUCUUGUUGGUGGGGUAACGGCUCACCAAGGCGACGAUCCCUAGCUGGUCUGAGAGGAUGACCAGCCACACUGGAACUGAGACACGGUCCAGACUCCUACGGGAGGCAGCAGUGGGGAAUAUUGCACAAUGGGCGCAAGCCUGAUGCAGCCAUGCCGCGUGUGUGAAGAAGGCCUUCGGGUUGUAAAGUACUUUCAGCGGGGAGGCGUUACCCGCAGAAGAAGCACCGGCUAACUCCGUGCCAGCAGCCGCGGUAAGUC